CAAAGUUUUAUUAUAAUUUGUUUUAUUAAUAUAUUAAAUGGGCUUGAAAUGUGGUUUUUAGACUGUAAACUAUAUAAUAAAGUCAAUAAGGCCAAACAAUUUAGUCAAUUUAAUACAAAAAUUUUCAACAUGUUUAAAUGUGCUUCCGACAGCAAAAAGAUCCGGCUCAAAAACAUAAAAAAAUCUACAUUAUUUUUAAAUAAAAAAGACCAAAAAUUUUACUGUUCAAUUUACAAAAAAAAAAGGUUUAAAAAAGUCUCUGUCGAAAGUUCAUCUUCAUCAAAUCUCCAAAUCUAGAAUAGGCAAUCGAUUUAUAGGAAGCGCUAGAGUCAUUCCCUCCCUGACCGAUUUGAAGAGAGUUCCAAAAAUUGAGAGGAUCGGGUUGGUUUUUAUUAUUCAUCCAAAUAAAGUAAGUUUUCUUUUUCCUUCAUAUAUUAUUCAAAGUAUCUGCUCCUUUGAUCCUUGAUGCUUUUUUGAAACAUGCAGUACACGAUCGUUGUUAAACUGGGGGUAAAUUUUUUUUUUUUUUUUUUGAACGAAUGUUAAAUUCUUAUUCAAAAAAGCCUUUUACAUGUGUGACCUCUGUACAUAUAACUUCUUUAGAGAUCACUAUAGAUUAUAAGGAUAUUCACAUUCUUGUAAACCAAAAUUGAAUAAUACCCUCCAAUUUCUUCCCACCUUUCCCUCUCAUUAGACUAAGCUUAUUUUUUACUCCUUUCUCAAUCAACUUCUUCAAACUCAAUAAGGGGAUGGUCUUUUCUCCAUAUCUUAUCUUAUUUCUCUCCCGCCAUAAUGUGUGGAUGGAAGCUUGUAAGGAGUACCUGAUACAGAACAGAGCUUUCUUCUCCAUGUUUCUUGCGGUAAUCAGCCUCACAGUGUCAUCCCAUUGGACCGUAUAGUCAGUACUGGGGGUAAAUUUCUGGCAUCUCCGAUCAGAUUCGUUGUUGACUCUCGAAGGAUCAAAAACUUUUUCAAAGAGCCGACAAAACAAAGAUAAAGAAUGAGACAUUUAUCCUUGGCGAAUGUUGAUAUAAGAUAGAACAUAGCACAAAGAAAGAUAAGAAGUUACCUCAUUAAAAAAAUCAAAGAAUUAAGAAUAGUUUACUUACCUUCAGGAUGACCCCCUUCUGUAUGGUCAAAAACAGGGUUCGUUUUAAGCACGAGCUCGUUUCAACUACUUAAAGCACGGGAAUCUUCUUACCAGGUACUCAUUAACUCUCCUUCAUUUGAUUCAACAAUGGAAAUGCUUGCUGGAUCAUACUUGAAUCUAGACCAGUCGACAUUUUGAUUAAAAAAAAUAUGAGCACGCAGUGCUUUCGUCAUUCACAUGGAUCAAUAUCUUCCGGUGUGGUUUACAGAGUGGUUUACAGAGUCAAUAUGAGUCUGUAAUGUUGUUGACAAAAAAAAAAUAUGAGAAAACAUUAUAUACACACCAAUCUGAAAUUUAUAUAAAGGAUAGAUUUUUUUCAACAUAACUCGCGUUUCUUUCAAUGCCAAAGCCUGAUCUAUUGGUGGAUUGAUCAGUAAUUGAGAUGUAUCAAAACAUUUGAGAUUUGAAGUUUACCUACAAACAAAAAAAACGAAAAUGAUUUUAGACCAGACUAUAACUGUGAUAAAGUAACAAAAUAAAGUAACAAAUCUAAAUUUACAAGCACUCCUAAUUGUGUUUCUUCUCUAUAGGGUUCGAAAAUAUCAUUAUUACUGUAUUCUUAUGGAGUAAUGGAGGUGAACUUUAUAAACCCAUUUUAUAAACGUGAGUGGUAGGUCGGUAUCCACCAGCUGCUGCACUUAGUGAAAAAAAUUCUAUGUUUUUCCAAUCACCCACACGGAAGUCCUGCUGCCCAAACUAAGCAAGUAGUUUUUCUUCCAUGAUGCAUCAAUUUUUGAUCCCUUGCAAUAAUGAAAAAAAAAACAGAGUUAAUAAGUCAAUAAUGCUAAGUUACAAAAACGCCAUAUAUAUUGUAUAUUACAGACAUAAAGCAGCUCAAAAUCGUUUACCUUCUCGUCAAAGAGAAUGAUCUCUAAAGUCUCACCAAAACCGGCAUUGGAUGGUUUCCAGGUGUGUAUGACUUUGGUUUCAAUCAACCAAGUUGUUUUCCAUGGCCUAAUCUCAUCAAGUUUGCAGAAUCCAAUAAACUUUCAAGCUUGGUAUCGCUGGAACAUCAUUAUCAAUAUACAAAGAGAUGGUACAUCUAAUCUAUAAGAAAAGAAAAUCAGUGUUGAUGCAAUUGAAGUUUAUUUAAAAUGUGGAUGUUACUUUGUUAUCUAAUGAUACGUUAUGUUACAUUAGGAAGAAAAAAUCAGCAUUAAGAGUUUAACGUCA